GUGGGGAAUCUUAGACAAUGGGGGAAACCCUGAUCUAGCCAUGCCGCGUGAGCGAUGAAGGCCUUAGGGUUGUAAAGCUCUUUCAGCUGGGAAGAUAAUGACGGUACCAGCAGAAGAAGCCCCGGCUAACUCCGUGCCAGCAGCCGCGGUAAUACGGAGGGGGCUAGCGUUGUUCGGAAUUACUGGGCGUAAAGCGCGCGUAGGCGGACCAGAAAGUUGGAGGUGAAAUCCCAGGGCUCAACCUUGGAACUGCCUUCAAAACUCCUGGUCUGGAGUUCGAGAGAGGUGAGUGGAAUUCCGAGUGUAGAGGUGAAAUUCGUAGAUAUUCGGAGGAACACCAGUGGCGAAGGCGGCUCACUGGCUCGAUACUGACGCUGAGGUGCGAAAGCGUGGGGAGCAAACAGGAUUAGAACCCGAGUAGUCC
rnacentral:rRNA from 1 species